UUUUCCUGCAGAUAAAGAAAUGGAGGCCCAGGGAGCUGAAGUUCUUUCCCAGCAUUUGCUGCCAGGAGUCUCUCCACCAUGAGGAAUGAGGCCAAGGUUAAGUCCAUCUAACUCUAGAAACUGGCCUUCUGGCACCCCGGGCUGAGUUUUCUCACCCUACCCUUGCACCUCACUCAGGCAGUCAGUCCUUGGGAGAGUGAAUGAACACGCAGGAGACCUCACCUACCACCAGGGUCCUGGUCCAGUGCCCUGGGCACCUAACAGCACCAGCCUCCUCCAGGCUUUUCUGGCCCCUGCGACUCCUCCUAGUACCCGCAACACAGUGACCAGACCACUUCCCUGCUCAAAGUUCUUCCACACAUCACCAAUGCUGACAGAUCAGUGCUACAUUCCUCUUCUAGGCAGUCAGGAACCAUCACAACCUGGCUCCUGCCUGUCAUCCUGGCCUUCCAGAUUCUCAUUUGACAGGCUGGAGAGACACAUACUUUGGUCAAUUUUGCAAAAUACAAUAAGUAAAUAAA
rnacentral:lncRNA from 1 species